AUUGAACGCUGGCGGCAGGCCUAACACAUGCAAGUCGAACGGUAACAGGAAGAAGCUUGCUUCUUUGCUGACGAGUGGCGGACGGGUGAGUAAUGUCUGGGAAACUGCCUGAUGGAGGGGGAUAACUACUGGAAACGGUAGCUAAUACCGCAUAAUGUCGCAAGACCAAAGAGGGGGACCUUCGGGCCUCUUGCAUCGGAUGUGCCCAGAUGGGAUUAGCUAGUAGGUGGGGUAACGGCUCACCUAGGCGACGAUCCCUAGCUGGUCUGAGAGGAUGACCAGCCACACUGGAACUGAGACACGGUCCAGACUCCUACGGGAGGCAGCAGUGGGGAAUAUUGCACAAUGGGCGCAAGCCUGAUGCAGCUAUGCCGCGUGUAUGAAGAAGGCCUUCGGGUUGUAAAGUACUUUCAGCGGGGAGGAAGGGAGUAAAGUUAAUACCUUUGCUCAUUGACGUUACCCGCAGAAGAAGCACCGGCUAACUCCGUG
rnacentral:rRNA from 1 species